CCUACGGGAUGCUGCAGUGGGGGAUAUUGCACAAUGGGGGGAACCCUGAUGCAGCGACGCCGCGUGGGUGCAGGAGUGCUUCGGCAUGUAAAGCCCUAUCGGCAGGGAAGAAGCAAGACGGUACCUGACUAAGAAGCCCCGGCUAACUACGUGCCAGCAGCCGCGGUAAUACGUAGGGGGCGAGCGUUAUCCGGAUGCACUGGGUGUAAAGGGAGCGUAGACGGCCAUGCAAGCCAGGGGUGAAAGCCCGGGGCCCAACCCCGGGACUGCCCUUGGAACUGUGCGGCUAGAGUGCGGGAGGGGCAGGCGGAAUUCCUGGUGUAGCGGUGAAAUGCGUAGAGAUCAGGAGGAAUACCGGUGGCGAAGGCGGCCUGCUGGACUGCGACUGACGUUGAGGCUCGAAAGCGUGGGGAGCGAACAGGAUUAGAUACCCCAGUAGUC
rnacentral:rRNA from 1 species